CGGGGCGGGAUACGCUACGGGUGGUAACCCGGUUGCUGGCGAUUGGGACAGACUUGCGCCCCUCAAUUGAGCGCAGCGUUACUCAGGGUCCGAGUUGGCCACAGGGCUACCGCGCCUUGGGCAUCUGCCCGCAAGUUGAGCCCCGUUAGACUGUCUGGGAGCGAAGACGGGUCAGGCCGACUGGAUGAGGGGCAGCGCAUCCAGUGGUUCGCAUGUGGGCGGGUCUUCCUCUGCGUGUUUGGGAAGUUCCCACGAACGACUGGGUCCCUGGACUUUUGAAUGAACCUGGGGAGAUUGUAAAGUCACUCCCUGAGCUGGGGACGCCUCCGGGACUUGAUGUUGACUUUCCUGAGGAAAGGCCAGAUGGUCUGGGGAGACCAACCUGUAUCUAAAGCGAUUGUUCCUUAUGUUGUACCUAGUGGGGCCUAGUAGGAAAAGGAGCCUGGAGCCCAGGUUCCUGUGCUGUCUGGGUGGUGAUGUUUGAGGAUUCACAGGCCAGAAGUCAGACCCCAAGGUGGACCUAGCCUCAAGAACCUGCUUCUGUUGGAAUGUAACGGUAGGUGAGAAGUCCUAGGAGACCCUGCUGGGCUGACCUGUGCUGCAAGUCCUGCCUCCUGUCACUCCUGCCCUAGGCCUUUUCCUGGCCUCUGCACAUUGAGAGCUCUUUUCUGUCAACCUCCCAACCAUCUCUUAGCCUGGGGCACCUGCUGCAGCAUCUGCUAAGUACUACCCUUGUGAGAACACCCUUACAUGGGUAUUGCCCUGGGUGCCUCUCUGUUAGUUCAGGUGACCAUCAAGUGUGCCUUCAAAUGAGGACUAAGUGUUCGGAGGCAUAAAGUUCUCUUGGGAUUAAGGGACAAUCCUGACCAUGUAAACACUCUUCAG
rnacentral:lncRNA from 1 species